CUCUUCACUCACACCAUCUUCUAUAAUGAGUAUCCUGGAGGUUCUCGUGAACUGGAUCGAAGCAUUCGAGGUGGAGAACUCUUUCUGACAGUGCUGCUUAAUCCGAUCAGUGUCUUUAUGACCCAUCUGUCCAACUAUGGGAACGACCGGCUGGGCCUGUACACCUUUGAGAGCCUGGUGCGCUUCCUCCAGUGCUGGACACGGCUGCGGCUGCAGACCCUUCCCCCUGUGCCUCUUGCCCAGAAGUACUUUGAACUUUUCCCUCAGGAACGAAGCCCCCUUUGGCAGGUAAGGGUGGAGCUCAGGCUGACCUGUUCUGAUGGGGUCAGGGUUUACAAGAUUAGUCCUUAUCAGAUUCGUGGCCUAACCUUCAGAAUCCCUGUGACGACAAGAGGCACAAAGAUAUCUGGUCCAAGGAGAAAACCUGUGACCGACUCCCCAAGUUCCUCAUUGUGGGACCACAGAAGACAGGCACCACAGCCAUUCACUUCUUCCUGAGCCUGCACCCCGCAGUGACAAGCAGUUUCCCCAGCCCUAGCACCUUUGAGGAAAUUCAGUUCUUCAAUGGCCCCAAUUACCACAAGGGCAUCGACUGGUAUAUGGACUUCUUCCCUGUUCCUUCCAAUGCCAGCACUGACUUCCUGUUUGAAAAGAGUGCCACCUACUUUGACUCAGAGGUUGUACCUCGGCGGGGGGCUGCCCUUUUGCCAAGAGCCAAGAUCAUCACUGUGCUCAUCAACCCUGCUGACAGGGCCUACUCCUGGUACCAGGUUUGUCUGAAGGAAGGGACACAUUAGGCCUUAAGGGAGAGGUGGAGAAGGUGGUGUCUGCUAGAGACACAGAAAGGAACGAGAGACGGGAACUGAACCAGACAGGAAUAUGGCCAGAGCCAUCGCCAAGGCAGCACCCCGUUCCUUCUCACCCUGUUCUGCAGCACCAGAGAGCACAUGGAGACCCUGUUGCUCUGAACUACACCUUCUACCAAGUGAUUUCAGCUUCCUCCCACGCCCCUCUGCUGCUUCGCUCCUUGCAGAGCCGUUGUCUUGUUCCUGGCUACUAUUCUACCCACCUUCAGCGCUGGCUGACUUACUACCCCUCCGGACAGUUGCUGAUUAUGGAUGGGCAGGAGCUUCGUGUCAACCCAGCAGCCUCAAUGGAGAUCAUCCAGAAGUUCCUGGGUAUCACCCCCUUUCUGAACUACACGAGGACCCUCAGGUGGGAGAGCAUAAGCCAAGAGAAAGAAGGUUUUAUGGGGAAAGGGAAGGAGGUUCUGUUUGGAAGAGACAUUUCUCCCUGUGGGCCAGGAGGGUAGGGUGCGUUUGUAGGGCUUGAAUCUCCCUUCUCCCUGACACCUAAUGCCCUCCCUGUCCCUUUGAGUAGGUUCGAUGCAGAUAAAGGAUUUUGGUGCCAGGGCCUUGAAGGCGGGAAGACUCGCUGUCUAGGGAGAAGCAAAGGCCGGAGGUACCC
rnacentral:lncRNA from 1 species